ensembl:lncRNA
GUGCACUUUGUUAAAAUUGAGAUGUUUGGCCUACUUGUUAUCUGCUUAAUAGGGCUGUAAGAAAACUGAGAUGCUUCCACUCUCAGACCUCCCAUUUUGCAAACAUAAGCACCAUUUGUUUUGCUCAGUUCCAGAGCAUUCAAGUUCAAAAUCGAUGAUGAAAUUUUUAAGACCUCAUUUGACUAGAAUUAUGCAAAUCCACUGAUGUACUGUAACAUACCUUGAGACCUAUGGGAGGGAAACUACCUGCUCCUUCUGCCGUGGAGCCCCAGCAGUGAUGCGUGGAAGGAUCACGUUGCCUGUACCACUGCGGUGCGGCCAUUGUCACGGUGUGACUGCCUGCCUCAUGCUGCUCAAAAACACGAGUUGCUUAUUUCACUCCCUAGGCUUGAACUGGCUCCCCACAGUCUCCAAAACUGACAAGUCAUGAUCUAAUGCUAGAUGUUCUAGUUAUUAGUCAAUUAGAGAAUCAGCUACAGGGGAACAGGAAGCAAAAGCUGGCUGGCAGAAAAUUGAAAACUGCAGCACAUUCUGAAAUAUUUCACCUGUGCUCUAAGCUGGUACAACACCCUGGAAGGCCUUACACAGUAAGACAGCUUGUUUCAGAACACUCUAAAUCUUGCCUCAAUUUUACUUUGCAGAAGGAUAUCAUACUGGUGUACCAAUAUUCCAGCUCUUGUAACUCAUUAAAUUGUAAUUAAUCCAGCAGUACAACUGCUGUUAAAUGUUAGUAUUUCAGAAAACUAUUACUUUCAUAAUGCUUCAUUUAAACCAGGGACAACAUUUAUAUUGUGGUGGAACUUUUAAGUUCUACCAAAGCACUAUGCUUUCCUUUCUGGAAACACUUUCAUUGAGAAACACUAUGGUCAGUUAUGCGGUGUUACAGGUUUUCUUGUUUCUUACUGUAUAGUUUCAAUUUCUGAGAAGGAGGGAGUGUUGUCUUCUUUCACUGCCCACGGGGUCUGUGAACCCCUAGGGUUACACAUUUACAACUGCGGGUGAUUUCAGCCCAGACACGGUUGACUCCAUUUAAGGGAGAAUAUUUACAACCAAAUGGUCUCAGGAAUAAAAAUGCAACUCUUCACGUGCACAGUUUUGCCAGGGCAGGACUUGCACAUGCUCCUAGAUGAGAACCAAAAGCUUUGAAUUCAGCUUGCAGAGAGGAAGGAAUUUGUCUGUGCUGCAGCAAAAGGAAGUAUUUGCUGUGUUAUUGUAGCACAUGGCCUUUUGCCAUCCUUGAUAAAGCAAUCCAGGGCUGUGCACCCAAAGUCUGCUGCCCUCAUGACCUUCCAUCAAUCACCAGCUGCGUGCAGGCUGGAUGCAGUGCCGGCUCCAGAGGUGAUCCAUUGUUCGCUCUGAAAGCGGGAAGUGCAGACAAAGCAGCCCCUUGCAAUCCCCUGCUGCAGCUCUGCGGGGCUGCUCCAUGUGCACCUCUGCUGACUGGGGGUGGGGGUGUCAGCCAUGGGGGUGCAGACUAGCUGCCUGGGACAGGCCUCAGGGAUGGUUUUUCCACAACAAAAAGGAAAACUGGAGUCAAUAUUGUAUCGCUGCACCUUGGUUAUGUACUUAAACUUACUUCCUUCUUGACUGUUCAGCACUGCUUGUAGGUGAGGCUUAAAACGUGGAAUUCGCACACUCUGAAUGGCCCAGUCUCCUUGUUUUUUUCUCCCUUCAAGCAGUACUGGUUACAGAUAUGCCAGCAUUGUUGGUAAGCAUGCUGAGAAUCAUGGAAUCAUAGGAUCAUUAAGGUUGGAAAAGACCUCUAAGAUCAUGAAGUCCAACCAGCAACCAUCACCACCAUGCCCACUAACCAUGUCCCUCAGUGCCAUAUCUCUAUGCUUUUUGAAAACUUUUGGAGCUGGUGACUGCAGCACCUCCCUGGGCAGCCUGUGCCAAUGACUCACUGCUCCUUCUGAGAAGAAAUUUUUCCUAAUAUCCAACAUGAACCUCCCCUGGCCCAACUUGAAGCCAUUCCCUCUAGUCCUAUCAUUGUUACCGGGGAGAAGAGCCUAAACCCCACCUGGCAGUACAAAAUAUUUUCACACACACAUUGCUGUCUCUUCACCAGGGUCUGCUUGUGGCGUUGUGAAAUCUGUGAUCUUUGUCAAUUUGCCUGUGCUAGCUGAGAUAUUGUGGAAAGUUUCAGCCUCUUGCAAGCUUUAACAGUGACUGCAUUGUGAUAAAACGAGAAUGGAGUUUUAUGAUUUCUUUAAAACAUGGGAAGGGGUCUUUCAUUUUUACAGACACCUUACUUAAGGUACGCCCAUGUCCUUGGCUGACUUCUCUUUGGAACUGGUUUAGGUUCCUGCUGUGAAACCAAGAGAGUUCCCCAGGUGCCAAAAGAAAAAGCUGAGAGGAGCGUAACAGGAUGUUCAGGAGAGAAAGGGAAAAUUGUGCCAGACACUGCAGAUAGCAAAGCUCCCAGCCUUGCAGAUGCCUGGGCUCCAGAAAGGCUUCAGGCUGGAGCACUUUGUGCUGCACUCCAGCUCACGGUAUUUCUUGUUUUUAGCAUACUGUACUGCUCUGUUCCUGUUUAUAAAUCUUGUAAGUGUGCACAUUAAAAAAGUAAUUAAAUUGUCAUUAUAAUUUAUAGUAUGCCUGCAGUCAAUCACCUAAUUAAACAGAAAGAGCAGGGAGGUAGUAGGUUCAUAAGCAUUUAUUAAGUACUGCAGUAUUAAUUAUGCAGGACUUUUGAACCAUGCAAAAGAGGAAAGAAUGGAAACACUGAUCUAAAAAUGCCUUCCAUUGCUGCCCUUCUCAAUUUAACAGCAAGACCUCCCCUCCAGUUAGUAAGACAACACUAAUG